UUGUAAUGUUGGUGGCACUUGCUCAACUUAUUUAUUUAUAAUUAUUUUUUUCUUUUUUUUUUGGGCGAACUGGUUUCCACACGUUUUCAGUGUUUUAUAUUGGCAUUUGUUAAUGGUAAUGUGUCAUUUAAAUAUUUAAAAGUUAAUUCUGAACGAAGUUGUAAUAAUUAUAAUUAUGUGUAAUUUAAAUGUUUGAACACAUCAAGUUUUUUUUUCAUUGUGUCAAUGUAUUUUCAUGAAUCUAUUAUGAAUAAUGUGUUUACAAUUUAAUUAUUAUAGUAAAUAUGUGAAGGUAUAUUUAAGAAAUUAUAAGUCAAUCUUUUGUUGUUAUAGAAUUAAUGCUCCAAGAACAAUCGAUCUUUGGUUGUUUUAAAAAAAAGUACUCUCUACGAGUGCCAUGUUCAAUGUCCUUCUUCGUCUUGCACUUACAGGCCACAAACUGUCUUUUCCAGCACCUUGACGCCAUGUUGCAGUAACGCCAAAAUUCUUGAUAUUGUGUUUUUAAACUUUUAAGAUGCAUUAAGCAUCUACAACCGCACUAAGUGCGGUUCCACGAUACCGGCCAUGUGGUACACUUGAACCAACUUGUGCUGUGGUGUUGGGGGCCUGUACCCGGCAGCCCGGAAGCAAAAUGAAGUGACCGCACCUAAUUCAGGAAAGCCGACGACUAUUUCAUUAUUUUUGGCAUGAACUACUAACCUUUUUUAUCAACUCUACAUAAUGUGAAAAUUUCGUGGACUUAACCUCAUCGGACUUCUCGUCAAACUUUCUCUUCUCUUCUAUCUUAAAGAAAAUUUUUUUUUUGAACCAAUGUAACGUUUUAUUUAACAUAUAAUUUACAAGCAACGAAAUAAUGUAACAUGGACUAAAGAUAUUUUGAUAAUCAAAAAAGAAAAAUAUAUUGUGUAUGAAAUUCAUCAUGUAAUAUUGUAAAUAAAUUUUUUUUUCUCUCUUGGGGCCCCAGAUAAGAUAAAACUUAAACAUAAUAAAAUCAAUAUCAUGUUAGAAAUAAUUUAAAAUACAAGUGAUAUUACAAGAAAGUCAGGGUGUUAUUUAAAAAAAAAUAAUUUACACAAAAAAAAAAAAUUAUUUAUCUGAAAUUGUCCUUUUUUAUUUAAUCAUUGAAUAAUACUCUUAUAGUUUAUUGUGAGUGUGCAUGACCAGUCAGCCCUGUGGAUUCUCUAACUAACCCCUCCACACAUCGAAACACUUCAUGAGCCUUGGUCCACAAGCUUUCAGCAUCCGCCUGCCUCUGUUCAUAACCUAAAAAUUUAUGAGUGGAGGUAAGGUGUGGUGCAGUAAUGGUAGCAGAGCCUGUGGUUCUGAAGCUUGUUUUGAUGUUGUUUUUUAUGUUUAAAUAAUAUUUUUUGUUAUGGGUUAAAUAUAUAUAUUUUUUUUGAGUAAACACCUUUUUUUUAGACAAGUUUUAUACGUUUUUAAACCUUUAAAAAAUUUCAUAUGAUUUCUCUAUUUACUGUUGGUUUAACCUAAAAAUAUUUUCUUAUCAAUGAUCUUCAAGUAUUAUUUAAACUAUCUAAUUUAAUGGUGAACAUAGUGGUGAUAAUCUUUUUUUUAUAGCAAUCUAUUUUUAUUUCAAGAGUUUUCUUUAUAUGGUAUUUAAUGAAGUUAGUAUUUUUUUUUAAGAGAUUUCUUGAUUUCAUAUGUUGCUUUCAUCAUAUUUUCAAUCGUGAAGUGGUAUUUUCAGUUUCAAAGUCUUUUUUCCUUCAGUGACAUUUAAUUGUUAGGAGAAUUAAAGUUUUGCUCGUUAAAGUAUGUGUCUUUCAUAAUUUAAACAAAUUUAGUAUUUUCAGUUUCUGGCUAUCUUUGUAUCAGUGAGGUUGGUAGUCCGGUUGUUUACGCCAGUAGUGUUGCUUUUAUCCAGGUUCUUUACAAGUUAGCUUCAGUAGGUUAUUUAGUUUAUUCUUUCAAGUGUUUUUGUUUCAUUUGGGCCUUUGGCUCAGUAGAUCGUGGCCUGAUAACCCACCGAUCCUAGUCUUUGAGUCCCAAGAAACUUUCUAUAUAAAUUAAGGUGUGCCUAAAGUAAAAGUAAUGUAAUAACAGGUUUGUGCACAUAAAAUAAAAUAUAAAAAAACCAUGGUACCUAGUUUUAAGUUGUCGCGACAUGUCUUAAUUGUUUGUAUCUUAGUUGUGGGAAGUAAGUUUGGUUGUAGGGUUUUCCUAGUUUGAAUUUUCAUGCGGUUAGUAGUUUGCAUUUGGGGUAUGUAUUUUCGUAUAUUUUUUUUGGAGAGUCUUUUAUUAUCUUCAUGUUUUAUUUUCAUGAGUUCACGUGUUCUUCAUUACACGUAAUUUAAGGGUAGGGUGUAACAACUAGAUUAAUUUCAACACUGAUUUUUUGUUUUAGUUAAUCAUGUAAGAUUGAGGUUAUGUUUGAUAAUUGUCGUUUAAUUUGUCGCAAGUUGUUUUAGAGUUUUAAAAUUUAUAUUCCUUUUAACCUAUAAAUUGUGGUUAUAAUUUAAUAAUUUGCAUAUUCUUUAGUAAUAUAAUUCUAAAUGAUAUUUAAAUUUUAUAAGAUUGCAGGUUUUGUUCGUGAGAGAACUGUUUGCAUAUUAUUUCUCGUUUUCAUAAUAAUUCCAUGUUUCUGAUUUUUUUUGCAGAUUGCCAUAUGUUGAAAAGUCUGUGGUUUCUUCAGUAAUAUUUAAUUGAUGUGAUGUUUGUUUACUUUUCGUGUAUCACCAUUUGGGGCACGUUUUUCAUAACCUAACCAUGAUAGGUAUAUUUUCUUGUUUUGUUGCCAUCGUUUAGUAAGUUCUUCUUAUAGCAGGUUGUUUUAAUAAUUUUAAUGUUGUUUCCUUGCCCAUGUUUUGUUGUAGGUCAUCUUGGGUAGGUAUUUUAUCUAAUUUCUUACAAGAGACAUUUUGCCGUUUUCCUAAUAAGUUCAUUUAAUGUGUGUUCUAGUGUUUUUCAUUACACAAGUUAAUUAUUGAGGUAAUGAAGUUGUUGUAUAAGUAUUUAAUCUGCAGUAUCUUUGAAUCAAGUAUUUGGGUACAAUUUUACUCUUAAGUUGUGUUGGAUCAUCAUUUAAAUUUUUUUUCUUGAGCCUAUUAAUUUUUUUUAUUUUAAUUUCACUAUUUUGCAUUUGUUUUGUUCUAAUUAUUUUGUUUCAGUGAGAUGCAGUUAAAGGUUAGUGGUUUUCUUGUUAGAAUUUUGUCGUUUCUCUUUUGAAUCUUUUUUUUUAAGCACUUAUAAAGUUUUAUAGUUUUGAUACAAUGUAUGUAUGUAAUAAUUUUUAUUGUGGGAGUAAGUGACUUCCAGACGAUAUUUGGGUUGUGUUUUUAAUUGUGUUGUUGACUUUGGUCAAGUUUAGCCAGAGAGCAAACUUUUUAUUUUAAGCAGGUCCUCUGAGCCAGAGCCAUGAGCCAGUGCCAAGUCCUGUUGAGAAGUGUUUAGGCUUCACCAGCACUUUUCAUUUUUUGCAGGCCUCAGUCAUUUUUUUAUCAAACCAUAUAUCUGCCAUGGAAGAUCCAAUCACUCAUUUUUAAUAAUAGUUUAAAUUUAGAUUAAUAUAUUUUGUGAUUUUAUUUGUUUUUAAAUAAUAAUAAAUUUUUUUUUAGUGAUAACUUUGAUUCAUUGCUUUUCUAUUUUGUUUGUCUUGCUAGUGUUAUCUUUUAAAAUAACAUUUUAGUAUUUGGGUUUUGUUUCUUGUCUUGUCAUCCAAAAUAUAUACUUUUUUGAAAUUUCUGUUUUGUAGGUUAUAUGUGUGUUAGUUCAUGUGGGGAUGUGGUGCGUUGUGUGUUUACACAGCUUUCCACACGACACAGCUAUUCCACAUGUGUUCCACACAUUACACCGUGUAGUGUCAUCAAUUUAAUCAUUUUUUUAAUUUGUGUUAACCUUUUUUUUAAACUUAGAUACUGUUCUUGUUUUUGAUUUGUGUACUAGGAUUGUUGCUGUAUGACAUCUCUCCGGUGGGGUGUCUGCUGCAUGGAGUUUGCUAGGGUGGUUGCGGCUUCGGCUCGGUGUUGCUGCGACUCACCGUUUCAGCCAUCUCUGGUGAAUUUUGUGUAGUGGAGUUCUGCUUGGUGAGACUGUCGUAUAGUGACACAUUCUUCAUUGUAAGGUAUGGUUUCAACUUUGAUUUCUUCUCAAAAAUUUUCCUUUCAAUAAAUUGCAGGCAGUUUUUUUUAUUCACUUCCCUUUUGCUGAAUCGUAACUUUAUUCAUGUUAUAUUUUGUGUUAGUGGUCAAGCUUGCUUUUGCGGGUGCUAAAUUAUCUCUUGAGUGUCUAAGGUAUGGGACUUAGUCAUUCACCUUUGGACGACCGUUUUCUAUUUUUUAUUUUUCAAUUUUGUGUUGUCGCUGAAUAAGCAUUUUAAAGAUUUUUGUUUCCUUUUGUUUGGGCUCAUGUUUAUCUUCAUGUGUUGUUUGAGCUGCAGUCUUCAGAGCGGUAUCAUAAGAUCAGGAUUUUAGUGACCAGGAUUUAAGUAGGGGUAAAGAUCCCCUAGUUUUUUUUUAUAUAAUAUGAAGGGGUAGAGAAUCCCCAAUUUUGUUAAUAUGGAGGAGGUAGGAGAACCCCCCAUUAAGCUGAAUAAGUAGGAGGUAAAGAGUCCCCACUAUUCUGAAUAAGCCGACGGGCAUUUUACAUGAGGUAUGGUCCUCUUUUAAAUAUAUAGUAUGUAACUGGUUGUCCUGGGUACUUGUACCACCAUUCUGUCCUGUUUGUUCUACAAUCACACAUUGAAAAUAUUUUGGUAUUUUGAUCUUCGAUUAAUUUAUUCUUUAGCUUUGAGAUUUUUCUCUCGCAGGUAUGUGAGCAUCCUACGUUCAGCUAAUUGAUGUUGAUGUCGAGACCAAGUUUUCUAUGGUAUUUUCUUGAGCGAGCAUUUAAAUAAUUUUGUUUUAUAAGAAGGGAUGAGUGGUCCCCAGUUUAUAUAAUAAUAAUUGUAUGUAGAGGUGAAUAUUUCUCAUUGAGUAUUGAGUUUGUAAGGAUAAUAUUUUGUUGUUUUUCAGUAUAUAUAUAUAUGAGUUUUAUGCUCGUGUCUGUGAUGUUUGUUUCUUCAGCAGUAUAAUGAUUUAAUUUCUUGAUUUCUAUAUCUAAUACACUCUUUGUAGUUUUGACAUCAUUAAUUACUAUGUCUCUUUUGUUUUAAUGGCAACUUUUUAAAACAUCCUUUAAAAAAAAUAUAUAUAUAUAAAUUUAAAUUUUUUGAAAUACAUAAAUAUAAUAUAAAUAAAAAAUAAAUAAAUAAUAUAAAAAUAAUAAUACAUAAAAUUUUAAGAAAGUAGCGUCUGCUUUGAGGGGGGGAGUAUGUGCCAUUGUAAUGUUGGUGGCACUUGCUCAUCUUAUUUAUUUAUAAUUAUUUUUUUCUUUUUUUUUGGGCGAACUGGUUUCCACACGUUUUCAGUGUUCUAUAUUGGUAUUUGUUAAUGGUAAUGUGUCAUUUAAAUAUUUAAAAGUUAAUUCUGAACGAAGUUGUAAUAAUUAUAAUUAUGUGUAAUUUAAAUGUUUGAACACAUCAAGUUUUUUUUUCAUUGUGUCAAUGUAUUUUCAUGAAUCUAUUAUGAAUAAUGUGUUUACAAUUUAAUUAUUAUAGUAAAUAUGUGAAGGUAUAUUUAAGAAAUUAUAAGUCAAUCUUUUGUUGUUAUAGAAUUAAUGCUCCAAGAACAAUCGAUCUUUGGUUGUUUUAAAAAAAAGUACUCUCUACGAGUGCCAUGUUCAAUGUCCUUCUUCGUCUUGCACUUACAGGCCACAAACUGUCUUUUCCAGCACCUUGACGCCAUGUUGCAGUAACGCCAAAAUUCUUGAUAUUGUGUUUUUAAACUUUUAAGAUGCAUUAAGCAUCUACAACCGCACUAAGUGGUAAGUUUUGUUGUAUUAUUUCUUAAGAACGUAGGGAAAUGUUUGUAGCACCGGGCGUGGUAAUAUUCUUUGUUUUUUUUAUGUUAAUUAGCGGUUCCACGAUACCGGCCAUGCGGUACACUUGAACCAACUUGUGCUGUGGUGUUGGGGGCCUGUCCCCGGCAGCCCGGAAGCAAAAUGAAGUGACCGCACCUAAUUCAGGAAAGCCGACGACUAUUUCAUUAUUUUUGGCAUGAACUACUAACCUUUUUUAUCAACUCUACAUAAUGUGAAAAUUUCGUGGACUUAACCUCAUCGGACUUCUCGUCAAACUUUCUCUUCUCUUCUAUCUUAAAGAAAUUUUUUUUUUUUUGAACCAAUGUAACGUCUUAUUUAACAUAUAAUUUAAAAGCAACGAAAUAAUGUAACAUGGACUAAAGAUAUUUUGAUAAUCAAAAAAGAAAAAUAUGUUGUGUAAGAAAUUCAUCCUGUAAUAUUGUAAAGAAAUUUUUUUUUCUCUCUUGGGGCCCCAGAUAAGAUAAAACUUAAACAUAAUAAAAUCAAUAUCAUGUUAGAAAUAAUUUAAAAUACAAGUGAUAUUACAAGAAAGUCAGGGUGUUAUUUAAAAAAAAAAAUAAUUUACACAAAAAAAAAAAAUUACUUAUCUGAAAUUGUCCUUUUUUAUUUAAUCAUUGAAUAAUACUCUUAUAGUUUAUUGUGAGUGUGCAUGACCAGUCAGCCCUGUGGAUUCUCUAACUAACCCCUCCGCACAUCGAAACACUUUAUGAGCCUUGGUCCACGAGCUUUCAGCAUCCGCCUGCCUCUGUUCAUAACCUAAAAAUUUAUGUGUGGAGGUAAGGUGUGGUGCAAUAUAUCUGUAAAAUUUUUGAA